CACACACACACACACACACACACACACACACACACACACACACACACACGAAUUCAAUAAGAGACGACACAAUGAAGCAUUUAUUUAGAAGGGGGAAAAAAUCUAUUCUUCCUAACUCCUUAGUUCCUAAGUCAGAACAGAGGCACGUUCAAAUACUGGAACUUGAGCACUCAAUGGGCAGAUCUGUAAAGUAUUAUUUUCUUUUCUUCACCAAAGGGGAUUAAAUUAUUCCUGGUGGGCGGAUGAGGUUUAUAUGUAUGUUGGCCAGAAAGCUUGUAGGGGUCCACUGAGGAAUGACCAUCUGUUACUAAGCUGGAUCUAAACAAUAUCUGAGCACAUACAUAAUUGCAUUUUUACUGACAAACGCAAUGAGUUCCACAAAUUGGAAUGCAUGUGAUGCAACCAACAUGAUGUGGUCUAGUCAUGCCCAGGUGAGUGUAUCAAGGCAAUCUUUGCUUUGGCUGUCAAACGAAUGACAAGUGGUGAGGUCAGGAUGGGGGAAAGGUAUUUCCACAUUUACUUUGAAACGGAGAUGCCUGAGGAACGAGACAGACGUUUCUCUUCUACUUCAGCCAUGGAAAAAGCUGGCAGGAAGGGUUUUAAUUUGGAUGUGUGUGUGUGUGUGUGUUGUUGCCGCACUUGAAGUCAUGAAUAAAAUCUAGAUAGAAAAA